UACGAAGGGUGCAAGCGUUAGUCGGAAUUACUGGGCGUAAAGCGUGCGUAGGCGGUUUCUUAAGUCGGAUGUGAAAGCCCUGGGCUCAACCUGGGAAUGGCACUCGAUACUGGGAAGCUGGAGUGCGGUAGAGGAGGGUGGAAUUCCCGGUGUAGCGGUGAAAUGCGUAGAGAUCGGGAGGAACAUCAGUGGCGAAGGCGACCCUCUGGACCAGCACUGACGCUGAGGCACGAAAGCGUGGGGAGCAAACAGG
rnacentral:rRNA from 1 species